rnacentral:rRNA from 1 species
UACGGAGGGUGCAAGCAUUAAUCGGAUUUAUUGGGCGUAAAGGGCGCGUAGGCGGGAAGAAAAGUCAGAUGUGAAAUCCCUGGGCUCAACCUAGGAACAGCAUUUGAAACUCUCUUUCUUGAGGGUAGGCGGAGAAAACGGAAUUCCACAAGUAGCGGUGAAAUGCGUAGAGAUGUGGAAGAACACCAGUGGCGAAGGCGGUUUUCUAGCUUACUCCUGACGCUGAUGCGCGAAAGCAAGGGGAUCAAACAGG